UGUUCACCACCGGGCGAGAUGCCCAGAGCGCCCCAGAGCUGCUGAGUCAUGGAGGACGAGGCUGGGUUACCAACAGAGGAGCCCCGGGUCCCCAGGGACCCUGGAAGCACCAGGCUGGAGGCCCAACAGCCCAAACCAAAACCGACCCGUCUGGAUGGAGACAAAGAGGAUGAAGAUUUGACCUCAGGACACUCUGCAGACUUCACGGCUCUGCCCUCACCGUGUCAAGGAGUAGACUUCAUUUCCAGCUUCAUGUAUUAAACUCAAGUAUUUUUCAUAGUUUACCGGGCUUUGAAGCACGUGAACAGGUGUACCUAAUGACCUAGUGUGUACACUUCAAAAUAACAUUAGUGGGUUUUUGUGUUGCUGUUGGCCAUUUUGACAUUUUGAACUGCAACCAAGCUGAAGAUGAAGCUUAUAUGAAAAAAAAAAAUCCUUAUGAAUCCUUGUAAAAAAGUCUGUAGGCAUCACUGACCCAUUUAUUAAAAUGUGUUUCAUAUGUGUGGAAAACAGUUGUGGGGCUGUGUGCAGAACCAGCAGCUGUGGUUGUUGAGCUCACAGGGUGCGACUCCUUCACCAAACUGUCUGGCUCCAGUUCUAAUGGGCCAACAGACAGAAGGACACACAACAAACCCACUGACUAACAAACAUCCCCGGGGACGGUGAGUCAGGAGGAGGAGGAGGAGGAGGAGGAGCAGCCAAACUCCUGCAGACUGCCUCUCCUGCCUGGAAGCCCAGAGGAAAAAUAA